AUGCUAGCAGUGACUGACAUGACACGUUAAUUAAUUACACCAUGAAAAAAAUUAUUUGAAAGAGAAGAUCUAUGUUCUACAUCUGUGUUCUGCAUCCAUGUUUUGGUCCUGUGAUUUAUUUCAAAAAUCUCCUAGCCAAAGAAAAUUUCUGAGAUUCUGAUGAAAAAUGAGCAGACCAAAAGAACCAAAAGGAAGGCUGAAGGAUCU